rnacentral:rRNA from 1 species
UACGUAGGGGGCUAGCGUUGUCCGGAAUCAUUGGGCGUAAAGCGCGCGUAGGCGGUCCGGUAAGUCCGCUGUGAAAGUCGAGGGCUCAACCCUCGAAUGCCGGUGGAUACUGUCGGGCUAGAGUACGGAAGAGGCGAGUGGAAUUCCUGGUGUAGCGGUGAAAUGCGCAGAUAUCAGGAGGAACACCAAUUGCGAAGGCAGCUCGCUGGGACGUCACUGACGCUGAGACGCGAAAGCGUGGGGAGCAAACAGG